UUGUACAGUAAAUGUAAUUCGGCUAUGGUCCCCACGUUUUGUUGUGUGUGGUGGGGUGGGUCUGGCAGUGGCGGUGCCCCGUGCCAGGGGCCAGUGCUGCUUCGUACCCGGCAAACUGACCUCUGGCCUUUGUUUUUGCCUGCUGUCCCCUGCGCUGACUGGGCCGACCUGCCGCGGUUGGCUGGGUGUGCCUAAGUGAGGGCUGGAGCUGGGCUGGAGCAGCUGGGUCUGGUCACAGCCAUUCUCCUCUUCCUGGUGGAUGGAAUCCCAGCUGGGCUGUGCCGAGCCCUCGCUCACGGUCCCCGGCAGCAGAUGGCCUGGGGUGGACUGUCCCCAACAGCAGCAGCACCCCAGAGGGCCAGGCCCUCCAGUCAGUCGGCCCCCUCAGCAGAGAGCCGCCUGCACACUGGCCAAUCUGGGGUGCCUGCCAUGCCUGGCCCAGGGGUGUGUGAACACCCCGGAGCUCACAGCUGAGCUGGAACGGGGCACUCCAGUUGGUACAGGGACCACAGCCUCUGGCUCAGGUGCCUCCCUGUGCUGUUUCGUGGGCACAUCCGGGCCUUAAGCCCCUCCCUGGCAGCUCCAGCCCAAUCUGGCCUAGCUACCCCCACCCCCACGCUAUCAGGGCCCACCCCCAGUCCCCUUGUAGAGCAGGGACUGUGGCGCCAGACCAGGCUCCUGUUACCCUGCUUCCUGGGUCAGAGGUCAGUCACAGGGUCAGGGGGACACUCCCAUCCGGUGUCAGAGAGAACCACUCCCUGAGGCCCCAGACUUCUGGAGCCACAGAGGGUUUAGAAGAGCAGAUUCCAGGCAGCCUUUUGUCCUGCUGCGCCAGCCAGGCCAGCCCCCUGCCCUCCCCAAGGAAGAGGAGCCAGACUGGGGAUGUGUGCCCCGCCGACGGGGGCUGGGGCAGGGCAAGGCUCUGGUGCCCCGGGACGCUUGCUCUUUUCAGCCACAGACGCCCUUGCACUUGGCCUUCCCUUGGGUGGUGCCAUCCCAUGCAGAGCCACGUCCAGGGCUGCGCGGUGCGUGGGCCGAGGCUCCGGCAUCAGCGUUUGGGGCUGUUCUUAUGUUUGUGGGCGGCCACAGGCCUCUUCCUGCUGCACCUGCCCCGCCUUGGGGACAGGCCCGAGCCCCAAGCCCGCAGCCUGAUUUCAGGGAUGGGGGUCUCUGGGAAUGCAGUCCUGCCAGUUUGGGCCCCACUCCAACAGGGGCAGCAGAGCAGAGGAGGCCGGGCCGUGCUGGGCGUCCUGCAGACCCCUGUGCCCCUAAAACAGCCACGGAGGGGAAGGAACCUUGGAGCGGAGCAAAGCCCUCGGCCUGACCCGGACGCACGUGACCGUUGUCAGCUUGGACCCGGCCUGGGGGACCCAGGCUGUGGUCAGCCACGCUCUGCGGGGAGGGCCUGUGCCCGCCACCCCCACGGCACAGGAGCCUGGGGUCCAGAGGGCGUCAGGGACAAAAGCUGGGAUCUGCUGGCCCUGCCCCCACCCUACUGAGGGUUGUCAAGGAGACUGAUCUCAGCCCAGGGGUGGAGGAAGGGGUUCAGGUUACAGGGUCCCUUCCCCUCCCCCUCUGCAGCCAGAGCCAGCCCUUCUCCACCCCCGGUGACCCUCAUGGCCAGUGGCUCUGUGCUCAUGGGCCUCUGGCCCCUCCCCAACCUCCUCCCCUCUGCCCUGCGCUGACCAGGGCCUGGGAGCCCCCGCACGGUUCAGACAGAGGGGCCAGGCUGAAGCUGGAGAGGAACCAGCGUCACACAGACGGCCUCUGAGAACUUGGAGACCCCGUUAUCCACCCAGCAGGGGCGUCAGGACAAGCAUCUGCUGCAGGCUUCGGCCUCAGGGGCGAAAGGGAGCCCCCGGGGUCCUGGUGGGGGUGCCGACCACAGGCCCGGAGGGUGGAUGCCUGCAGGAAGCUGGGCUCUGCGGAGCCCGAGGAGGGGCUGGUGGCCACACCCCCCGGCCCCCUGGCUCGGCGGCCCUCAUGCCCGCGCCACGGCCACUCCUGCCGCUCCUGCUCCUCCUCCGGCUGACCUCGGGGGCCGGCUUGCUGCCAGGGCCGGGGAGCCACCCGGGCGUGUGCCCCAACCAGCUCAGCCCUAACCUGUGGGUGGACGCCCAGAGCACCUGUGAGCGCCAGUGUAGCGGGGACCAGGUAAGUGCAGUCGGGCCGGGGUCCCGGGCCUUGGGGCAGCCAGCCUGGGCAAGAUCCUGCUGGAGGUGCCACCUUCUGCCCGGGCUCCCCAGACUUCUGGGGGGUCUGGGUCUGGGCCCCUUGAGGGGCCCAGAGACAGCCCCAUCGUUGCCCUCAUUUGUCUUAAGAAUAAGAGCCCUCCAGCCAACUCCAGCACCUCUCCUCAUGCUCCCCUUGUGCCUCCAUCCUGGGCACCAUCAUCCUCAGCAACCACCCCCACCCCGUCACUGCCCUCACCCCCAUCCCUCCCGUCCUGCCUCUCCCCCCACGUCACCUCUCCCCCCUCCUCCUUCCAUCUUCUCCCCCCACCCCGUACUGCCUCUCCCCCACCCUCUCCUUCAUCUUUCCCCCUUCCCCGUCACUGCCUCUCCCCCCCUCUUCCUUCCCAUCCCUUCUUCCUGCCCUCCUCCCCCCCCUGCCUUCAACUUCCCUCUCCCCCCGCACCCCUCCCUCACUCCUUCCCAUCUUCUCCCCUCUCCUCCCGUCACUGCCCUCUCCCCCACCCUCUCCCUUCCAUCUUCUCCUCCCUCCCCGUCACUGCCUCUCCCCCCCCCUCUCCUUCCCUCUCCCUCCACCUCCUUCUUCUCUCCCUCCCCUCCCUUCCACUGCCUCUCUCCCACCCUCUUUCCAUCUUUCUCCCUCCGUCAUCUUCCUUCUCUCCUUAUUUUCUCCCCCCUCCGUCACUGCUCUCCCCCCACCCUCUCCUUCCAUCUUCUCCCCCUCCCGUCCUCCCUCCCCGUCACUGCCUCCCCCCCCCUCCUUCUCCUCCCUCCGUCACUGCCUCUCCCCCACCCUCCUUCCAUCUUCUCCCCCCCGUCACUGCCUUACCUCUCCUUCAACUUCUCCUCCCUCCCCGUCACGCUCUCCUCCCACCCUCUCCUUCCAUCCGGGACCAGUGCAGAUGGUGAUGGGGGUGCUGCAGCCCAUGUCCAGCCUUUGUCCUGACCUGCACCACCUGCUGGGUGGCCCUGAGCACUGUACGCCCUCUUGGGCCUCAGUUUCCUUGUCUGUACAACAUAAAGAAUAACGGAACUUGCUUGUGGGGGUGAGGAUUCCAGAAGGUGAAGCCAGGUGGCACCUCUGGUGCGGUGGCUCCUCACACAGGAUGGAAAGGACACUGAGUCCCUGGGGAAGCAGCCCUGGAGGCAGCCAUAGAGCGGGGGGCUCCCUGCUACCCCACCUGGGCCUCCCCAUGCAGGGGCCAGGCCAGAGCCCCCGGGCGGGGGAGCAUCGGGGCUCCCACCUAAGUGUCCCCCAUCCCCAGGACUGUGCGGCUGCUGAGAAGUGCUGCAUCAACGUGUGUGGACUGCGGAGCUGCGUGGCAGCACGCUUCCCCGGCAGCCCAGCCGUGCCCACGACAGCGGCCUCCUGCGAGGGCUUUGCGUGCCCACAGCAGGGCUCGGACUGCGACAUCUGGGAUGGGCAGCCCGUGUGCCGCUGCCGUGACCGCUGUGAGAAGGAGCCCAGCUUCACCUGCGCCUCGGACGGCCUCACCUACUACAACCGCUGCUACAUGGAUGCCGAGGCCUGCCUGCGGGGCCUGCACCUCCACAUCGUGCCCUGCAAACACGUGCUCAGCUGGCCGCCCAGCAGCCCGGGGCCACCGGAGACCACUGCCCGCCCCACACCUGGGGCCGCGCCCGUGCCUCCUGCCCUGUACAGCAGCCCCUCCCCACAGGCGGUGCAGGUGGGGGGUACGGCCAGCCUCCACUGCGACGUCAGCGGCCGCCCGCCGCCUGCUGUGACCUGGGAGAAGCAGAGUCACCAGCGGGAGAACCUGAUCAUGCGCCCUGAUCAGAUGUAUGGCAACGUGGUGGUCACCAGCAUCGGGCAGCUGGUGCUCUACAACGCGCAGCCCGAAGACGCCGGCCUGUACACCUGCACAGCGCGCAAUGCCGCUGGCCUGCUGCGGGCUGACUUCCCACUCUCUGUGGUCCAGCGAGAGCUGGCCAGGGACAGAGCCCCCAGCAUCCCAGCCCUGGCGGAGUGCCUGCCAGAUGUGCAGGCCUGCACGGGCCCCACUUCCCCACACCUUGUCCUCUGGCACUUUGACCCGCAGCGGGGCGGCUGCAUGACCUUCCCGGCCCGUGGCUGCGAUGGGGCGGCCCGGGGCUUUGAGACCUACGAAGCGUGCCAGCAGGCCUGUGCCCGCGGCCCCGGCGACGCCUGCGUGCUGCCUGCCGUGCAGGGCCCCUGCCAGGGCUGGGAGCCGCGCUGGGCCUACAGCCCGCUGCUGCAGCAGUGCCAUCCCUUUGUGUACGGUGGCUGCGAGGGCAACAGCAACAACUUCCACAGCCGCGAGAGCUGCGAGGAUGCCUGCCCCGUGCCGCGCACACCGCCCUGCCGCACCUGCCGCCUCCGGAGCAAGCUGGCGCUGAGCCUGUGCCGCAGCGACUUCGCCAUCGUGGGGCGGCUCACGGAGGUGCUGGAGGAGCCCGAGGCCGCCGGAGGCAUCGCCCGCGUGGCGCUCGAGGAUGUGCUCAAGGAUGACAAGAUGGGCCUCAAGUUCUUGGGCACCAAGUACCUGGAGGUGACGCUGAGUGGCAUGGACUGGGCCUGCCCCUGCCCAAACAUGACGGCGGGCGAUGGGCCGCUGGUCAUCAUGGGUGAGGUACGCGAUGGCGUCGCCAUGCUGGACGCCGGCAGCUACGUCCGGGCCGCCAGCGAGAAGCGUGUCAAGAAGAUCUUGGAGCUGCUGGAGAAGCAGGCCUGCGAGCUGCUCAACCGCUUCCAGGACUAGCCCCUGCAAGGGGCCUGCGCCACCCCGUCCUGGUGAAUAAACGCACUCCUUGUGUCCCAG
rnacentral:sRNA from 1 species